AUGGUAGCCGUUUAGUUAGUUAAAGUGACGUCACGUUCGCCGCAAGAAUAUUCUACAACUACCAUCAACAUAAACUGUGGCUAGAAAUAUAUUUUAAAUAACAUACACUACUUUAAAAAAUUCGGUAGUGUUUGUUUCUUUAAAAGCAUUGCAAUUACCUAGCUGCAAAGUUGGAACAGUGCAACACAUCACCUCAAUCUUUUUAUGUUUACACCCUGCUAGGAGAACUAAGGUACAAAGCAAUGCCUUGUCAAUAAACUAUUUGCUGUGAUUCACAAUUUUUGGAGGAAAUUUUCUGAAAAA